CUGGCUCAGGAUGAACGCUAGCUACAGGCUUAACACAUGUAAGUCGGGGGGCAGCGAGGCGGUAGCAAUACCGCUGUCGGCGACCGGCGCACGGGUGAGUAACGCGUAUCCAACCUUCCCUUAGUAGGGCAUAGCCCGGCGAAAGUCGGAUUAAUACCCUAUGUUAUCCGAAGAGGACAUCUGAUUUGGAUUAAAGAUUCAUCGCUAAGGGAUGGGGAUGCGUCCGAUUAGGUUGACGGCGGGGUGACGGCCCACCGUGCCCGCGAUCGGUAGGGGUUCUGAGAGGAAGGUCCCCCACAUUGGAACUGAGACACGGUCCAAACUCCUACGGGAGGCAGCAGUGAGGAAUAUUGGUCAAUGGGCGAGAGCCUGAACCAGCCAAAGUAGCGUGAGGGACGACGGCCCUACGGGUUGUAAACCUCUUUUGGAGGGGAAUAAAGUGCGGGACGUGUCCCGUUUUGCAUGUACCCUCAGAAUAAGGACCGGCUAAUUCCGUGCCAGCAGCAGC
rnacentral:rRNA from 1 species